CCUUGGGACUUGUGGGCAUGGAAGAGAAGAAGGAGUCCUUCUUUAGGAAGGAACUCCACACCAAAAUAAAAUUAGGAUGCCCACUUUUUGUGCGUUGAAAUGGAAGAGUCCAUUUCACAUUGGACUCUUAAUUCUUUUCUUUAAUUCUCCAUGCUUUUCUUAAUUCCUCGUGAUGUGAGAUGCUUCUUGGGAUUAUGGGCAUAGA
rnacentral:lncRNA from 1 species